rnacentral:rRNA from 1 species
GUCUACGGCCAUACCACGUUGAAAGCACCGGUUCUCGUCCGAUCACCGAAGUUAAGCAACGUCGGGCCCGUUUAGUACUUGGAUGGGUGACCGCCUGGGAACACCGGGUGCUGUAGAAA